GAAGCUGACCAGACAGUCGCCGCUUCGUCGUCGUCUUCCUUCGGGGGGAGACGGGCGGAGGGGAGGAAAGUCCGGGCUCCAUAGGGCAAGGUGCCAGGUAACGCCUGGGGGGUGUCACAGCCCACGACCAGUGCAACAGAGAGCAAACCGCCGAUGGCCCGCGCAAGCGGGAUCAGGUAAGGGUGAAAGGGUGCGGUAAGAGCGCACCGCGCGGCUGGUAACAGUCCGCGGCACGGUAAACUCCACCCGGAGCAAGGCCAAAUAGGGGUUCAUAAGGUACGGCCCGUACUGAACCCGGGUAGGCUGCUUGAGCCAGUGAGCGAUUGCUGGCCUAGAUGAAUGACUGUCCACGACAGAACCCGGCUUAUCGGUCAGUUUCACCU
rnacentral:RNase_P_RNA from 1 species